GAUGAACGCUAGCUACAGGCUUAACACAUGCAAGUCGAGGGGAAACGAUAUUGGAAGCUUGCUUCCGAUAGGCGUCGACCGGCGCACGGGUGAGUAACGCGUAUCCAACCUGCCCAUCACUUGGGGAUAACCUUGCGAAAGUAAGACUAAUACCCAAUGAUAUCUCAAGAAGACAUCUGAAUGAGAUUAAAGAUUUAUCGGUGAUGGAUGGGGAUGCGUCUGAUUAGCUUGUUGGCGGGGUAACGGCCCACCAAGGCGACGAUCAGUAGGGGUUCUGAGAGGAAGGUCCCCCACAUUGAAAGUGGGACACGGUCCAAACGCCUACGGGAGGCAGCAGUGAGGAAUAUGGGUCAAUGGGCGAGAGCCUGAACCAGCCAAGUAGCGUGCAGGAUGACGGCCCUAUGGGUUGUAAACUGCUUUUAUAAGGGAAUAAAGUGAGCCUCGUGAGGCUUUUUGCAUGUACCUUAUGAAUAAGGACCGGCUAAUUCCGUGCCAGCAGCCGCCGUAA
rnacentral:rRNA from 1 species